rnacentral:tRNA from 1 species
GACGAAGUAGUUUAGUUGGUUUAAAACAACGGAAUCAUAAUCCGUAUAGCGGGGGUUCAAGUCCCUCUUUCGUCA